GCCAGACCGACACGAGGCGUCACCGGUAACUCGUGUGUGACCACUGUUUUAUGGGGUGAGGGAGCUCCUGCUGCGACUGAGAUGCCGGCAUAGCAGAGAUGGUUCAUCGAGGUUAAACUGUCUCCUGCUUGUUUUUUUUGUUAGUUUUUUUGGGGGUUGGGGGGGUUGUUUGUAGGUUCUGUUUUGUUUAGUGAGUCCGCUCGGCUUUGCAGGGCCGAACACUAAAAGACCUGGGUGCAUUGUGUGAGAGCGGACUAACUUUUCUAUUUUGUUAAUUUUCUUUUUUGGGGGGGUUUGUUUCAUUUCACUUCCCUAUGUAGAUCUGAUUAAGAUAAGAAUCAGCCUUGACCCGAUUACUGUGAAACCCGACAUAAAGUGUGAUGGUGUUUAGGCACGUAUAAAUGGAAUGCAGUGCUAUUGGAGAUGCAGUUACAUUUUAGAGUACAGUGAUUUGUUUUUCACCUUUGGUUCAUCGGGCUCAUAUGUGAUCGACCUCAAGGGGAGAAGAUUUGGACUCUGUUCAGACAAGGGGAUUGUGAUCUUUUAUUUGUAUCGUGAA